ACCUGACAGUGUUAUUCUUGAAUCCCAAAAGUUCAUGCAAUCUGUUUUCUAAACUAUGAAGAAUAUUAAUUCAAUUACAAUUUCAAGUGUCUUGUUUAGGGUUGUGUGGCUAUAGAAGUUUCCUAGGAGAGAAUGGUUGAACUUUUCAAGAAGUCUGUCUUGUUCUAAUAACAUCUCGGAUCUCAGAACAAUUCUUCUGGAAUGCAGCACUCUGGGAAUGUUCCCGAGAUGGAUUGAAGAAUGACAAGAGGCCUGGAUUGCACAUCACAACUGUCAGAAGGAUCUGACCAGCCCCCAGCCCUACCACGGUGAGGGAUCGAUGCAGACAGCAGGAGGAGACACUACUGGCCAUGGAGGGCAGUAUGGGUAGCAGGUUCCCUUCAAAGCCUGAGAGCCUCAACCUCUCCAAACAGUGAAUCCAUCUUCUCUAGCCUGUUGUCCCACACAUAGACACCCAGCGAGAGACACUCAUCCUGGGACAGCCGUUACAGAAUUACCCACCAAAAACGGACCAAGCAGCAGAGGAAGGAGAGGCACCAGGAGAAGGACUCAUGGACUUUGGAGAAGAUGGAGAGGAUCGUUCAGGAUUCCUGGAGAUGGGAGGAAUUACUGGACGAAGGUGAACCAUGGGCUCAAGCUGGGGAGUAUCGCCGCCCGCAGUGGGAGAUCGAGGCGGCGAGAGCUGAGAGGCGCUGGUAUGAGGAGUGGGAGCGCAACGGACACGGGAGGCAGCCCCACAAAUUUUUUUUGGGGGGGCACACGGGGAGAUUGGCGGAGUCAGGUGGUAGACCUAAGCCAACUCCCCGUGCUUACCGGAAGCAGCGUGGUACUGGUAAGACACCGUGUUAUGCUGUGGAGCGCACGGUGUCCCCAGUGCGCGUUCAAAGCCCGGUGCGCUACAUACCAGCCCCCUGCAAGUGCCAUGCGAGUGCAGGCAUCGAGCCAGGGUGGAUGGUGCCAGCUCAGCGCGUCUGGUCUC
rnacentral:lncRNA from 1 species